rnacentral:lncRNA from 1 species
UUACUUUGAGAAAUGCUGUAUUUACUGUCCCAUUUGGGUCCCCUGAAUAAACAGAACUAUGGCAGUUUUCCGCAGCCCACACAGUGCACAGACAGCUUCAUUCCUGUCUUUGCAACGAUGCUGUCAUCUCAGUCUGGAUGUGAAGUCAAGUGGGGAAAGUGGAAGGCUAAAGAGAAGCCACUUUCAGGAUUAUGUAUAAACUGCCAGCUAGUCCUUCUCCUAGCUGACCCGGAAUCUUCUCUCCACUACCAGUUUCUUUCAGUUCCAGAUGUUUGCUGGUUCUAUCACGGCCGUGCUUUGUCCGUCCUCCUGUGUGAUGCUGUUUCUGCUGCUGGAGUAACUGAGCUCAUCUUCAAGGACCCCGCUAGGUCAUUUUUUUCUAUGGUGACCCUCCCCCCGUUAGAUCAUUGUACCUUACAAGGUCCUAUCUCCUGUGUUCGCGUGUUCUCUAACUGUGCUCCCGAUCUCUGACAGUGCUCCCGAAGGGCGGUGAUUGGUUGUGAUCCACCUCCUGUGCGUACACACAGUUAGUAGGCCCAGAUCCCGAAGGGCCCUAACUCAUGAAUGAACGUCCCACACCGUACGUGUUAUUUUAGGCGACACUAGAUUCCGC